CAGUCGCCGCGGGAAUACAGAGGGUGCGAGCGUUAAUCGGAUUUACUGGGCGUAAAGCGUGCGUAGGCGGCUUCUUAAGUCGGAUGUGAAAUCCCUGAGCUUAACUUAGGAAUUGCAUUCGAUACUGGGAAGCUAGAGUAUGGGAGAGGAUGGUAGAAUUCCAGGUGUAGCGGUGAAAUCCGUAGAGAUCUGGAGGAAUACCGAUGGCGAAGGCAGCCAUCUGGCCUAAUACUGACGCUGAGGUACGAAAGCAUGGGGAGCAAACAGGAUUAGAUACCCCUGUAGUCCCUGUCUCUUAUAC
rnacentral:rRNA from 1 species